rnacentral:rRNA from 1 species
CGCGUAGGUGGUUCGAUGAGUCGGAGGUGAAAUCCCUCGGCUUAACCGAGGACCCGCGUCCGAUACUGUCGAACUUGAGUGCAGGAGAGGAGAGCGGAAUUCCCAGUGUAGCGGUGAAAUGCGUAGAUAUUGGGAGGAACACCGGUGGCGAAGGCGGCUCUCUGGACUGUCACUGACACUGAGGCGCGAAAGCUAGGGAGCAAACG